GAACGCACCAUAGCCGAUCCUUCAGGCACACGGGUAGCAUCACUAUCCGUCUUUGCUGAGGUUAACCGCCGCGUUGUGCAUUGUGACAUUAACCCCGCUGUAUCAUCAUCAUACGCUACCAUCCACCGGCCUGGAUUCACUGUAGCUGUAGAGCAGGAUCUGCCUCUCACAAGCUAAUGAACCUGCCAUCCCAAGCGCGACCCUUGUCUUCGCCUGCUAAGCCCCCG